AUUCGGCUGACGAGUCUCAAAUAGGACGAAACGCGUGUCCUAGAU
rnacentral:hammerhead_ribozyme from 1 species